UUGAAUUUUAAUGAAGAGUUUGGUUGUAGCUGGCCCAUUCAUUUGGGCAUGUGCACACCUUCCUCUUUCAUCCCACACACACCUGUGAACCUGUGAGACAGAGGAUGGGGAAUUUACUUGCUGCUUUUUGGAAUACAAAGGCAAUAGGUUAUUGGACCCCCCCUCUGUCUACUCAAUUAAUAUAAACUCCAAUUUAUUUUAAAACGAAUGUAAUGGAUGUAACACAUCUCAUAC
rnacentral:misc_RNA from 1 species